rnacentral:rRNA from 1 species
CGCGGCCUAUCAGCUUGUUGGUGAGGUAAUGGCUCACCAAGGCGUCGACGGGUAGCCGGCCUGAGAGGGUGACCGGCCACACUGGGACUGAGACACGGCCCAGACUCCUACGGGAGGCAGCAGUGGGGAAUAUUGCACAAUGGGCGGAAGCCUGAUGCAGCAACGCCGCGUGAGGGAUGACGGCCUUCGGGUUGUAAACCUCUUUUAGCAGGGAAGAAGCGAGAGUGACGGUACCUGCAGAAAAAGCGCCGGCUAACUACGUGCCAGCAGCCGCGGUAAUACGUAGGGCGCAAGCGUUAUCCGGAAUUAUUGGGCGUAAAGAGCUCGUAGGCGGUUUGUCGCGUCUGCUGUGAAAUCCCGAGGCUCAACCUCGGGCCUGCAGUGGGUACGGGCAGACUAGAGUGCGGUAGGGGAGAUUGGAAUUCCUGGUGUAGCGGUGGAAUGCGCAGAUAUCAGGAGGAACACCGAUGGCGAAGGCAGAUCUCUGGGCCGUAACUGACGCUGAGGAGCGAAAGGGUGGGGAGCAAACAGGCUUAGAUACCCUGGUAGUCCACCCCGUAAACGUUGGGAACUAGUUGUGGGGACCAUUCCACGGUUUCCGUGACGCAGCUAACGCAUUAAGUUCCCCGCCUGGGGAGUACGG